rnacentral:misc_RNA from 1 species
GGAGAUACUUGCAAGUUGAUCACUUGGCUUCACAAAAUUGUAGUCAAUCUUAAUGUGCUUAGUCUUCUCAUGAAAUAGUAGAUUUGACUUAGAAUGUUGAUAAAACACAGAGUGGUCAGCCCUACUAUGAGUCAUGCCAAAUUCUUGAACUACUGCGCUUAACUUCCCAACCAAGCUUGAAAAUAUUGUUUUACACUAUAGAGUGCUA